rnacentral:rRNA from 1 species
GACGAACGCUGGCGGCGUGCUUAACACAUGCAAGUCGAACGAAGUGGCGGACGGGUGAGUAACGCGUAAUCAACCUGCUCUUCAGAGGGGAACAACAGUUGGAAACGACUGCAAAUACGGCAUACUGAAGGAGGGGAUUGCGUCUGAUUAGCUAGGUGGGGGGGUAACGGCCUACAAAGGCGAUGAUAAGUAGCCUGUGCGAGAGGAUGAACCGCCACAAUGGGACUGGGACAAGGCCCAGGCUCCUACGGGAGGCAGCAGGGGGGAAUUUUCCGCAAUGGGCGAAAGUCUGACGGCACAACGCCGCGGGAGUGAUGACGGCCUUCGGGUUGUAAAGCUCUGUUAAUCGGGGCGCGUUACCGGAAUAGAAAGCAACGGCUAACUACGUGCCAGCAGCCGCGGUAAUAC